UGUUCAUUUUUCUUUUUAAUGUUUUAACAAUACUUAUUGUGUGAAUCAAACGUGACGCGUAAUGAUGAUAUUUAGAUUCGCUGAUCUAUUUGCAGAUUUUUUUUUUUUCCUUUCUCAUGAAAGCUCCGACAAGAACGAUUGUUUUGCGGUGAAUGCUUGGGUAAAUACACUUAUAUGAAAAAUAAAUAUUGGGAGGAUUACAGAAAAUGUUAAAUGAGGGAUGCAAGACGCAUGAUUCCUCUAUGAUCGAUGUCGAUCAUGAAUUCUUGAUGAAAUUUGAAAUAUUUAUUCGUGACGAUGAACGUGGAGGAGAUAAAUGAUUACAUCGAUGAUGAUAAUGUUUCGAGAUAUCGAUGACGAAUCAAAAAAAUGACGAUAACAAGUUUGUUCAGAAAGAACGAAAUUUUUCUUUCUUUUUUUUUUUUACGAUCUUUUCUUCUUCAACGUUUCUCCCUCUCUUCUUCGUCAGUCUAUCUAAAAUCGAUAGACGAUGGACGAUUCCUGCUCUCUUCUACUCGAUUCUCCUUCCUCAUUAUCAUCUUCUUGCCUUAGACACAUCGGUUUUCUCUCUCUCUCUCUCUCACUUUGAUCCAUUUCGUCCUCCACCUCGUGCUUCCUUCUCCUCGUUCUUUAGAUUUUCAUGAUGUACGGAAGCCCGGCCAUAACUGCAACAGGCCACAACCCCGACCCAACUCUCAGUGAGACGUAGAAAAAUUGUAUUCUCACGAUCCUUUCUCAUCGCGGAAUUUUUUUUAUUACUUUUACUUUUAUUUUAUUUUUUUCGUUUCAUUUUCAUUCUAAAUUAGAUACAUUCUUCGUUCCCAUAAUUAUACGUGUAUAUAUAUAUGUAUAUAUAUAUUUUUUAUUCUUUUUUUUUUAAUUUUUGUCUCUUCGGAGUCGACGAAUAUAUAUAUACGCCUAUGAUAUAGUUUUGUGAGUCGCGUCGUAAGCAACCUUUUUUGUUUUAAAUUAUCACGAAUUUUCGAUCGACGAUUACAAGGUUCUUGGACAGACAUACACAAUGUAAUAGGAAACAGGAAAGGAUCUGAUAAACAUAUCUGUGACGGAGCUAUAAAGAAAAAUAAUCUCUUACUACAAUUAAUUUAAUCGUAUAAAUU